UCAAGGGUCCUGCAGAAGGAAGUCUUGUUUAUGUACAGAACAGGUACAGUGCAGGCAGCAGUUGUGCAAGCUUACCCCACAUCACUCUGCCAAUGCAUCUCACUGCUGAUCUGGAGGGUCAGCUUUAAAGAGAUGUUGGUAUGUACCAUUCAUUCUUAACCUGUUGGCUUAGGUGGCCACA
rnacentral:sRNA from 1 species